AAGUCGUAACAAGGUUUCCGUAGGUGAACCUGCGGAAGGAUCAUUAUCAAAUUAUCCAAAACCUGGGGGUAUAACUAUCGCAAGAUGGUUAUAUUCCUUAAACCAAACGUGAACUGUUUCGCCUCUGGCUAACGCUAAUGUAAGUAGGAUAUGGGUUCGAAAGAAUCCUAAUUCUGCUUGUUAGUCAGAGUGUAUUCUUUACAUUAAAUUAACCAAUUGAACCGUUUUAUAUAUAUUGACUUGUUUGAACUGAAUUUGUUUCUUACCUUGCGUAAAACCAAGGAAGAUAACAUAAUUUACGAAACAAUAUAAAUAUAACUCUUAGCAACGGAUAUCUUGGUUCUC
rnacentral:misc_RNA from 1 species